rnacentral:rRNA from 1 species
GACGGAGGAUGCAAGUGUUAUCCGGAAUCACUGGGCGUAAAGCGUCUGUAGGUGGUUUAAUAAGUCAACUGUUAAAUCUUGAGGCUCAACCUCAAAAUCGCAGUCGAAACUAUUAGGCUAGAGUAUAGUAGGGGUAAAGGGAAUUUCCAGUGGAGCGGUGAAAUGCGUAGAGAUUGGAAAGAACACCGAUGGCGAAGGCACUUUACUGGGCUAUUACCAACACUCAGAGACGAAAGCUAGGGUAGCAAAUGGG